GACGAACCAAUAUGUGAACAUGGUGGAUAUACGAAGAGAGAUUGUACUUCAUUUUACAUGUGCUCUAAUGGAAUCGCGUACGAGUUUGCUUGUCCACCUGGAACUGUUUGGGACGAUGAUAGAAGUCUAUGUGAUCAUCCAUACAAUGUUGUAUCAGAGUGCGGGACGAGGCUACUAUGAAACCUGUAUGAUUGCAGUGACAGAAUAUUAAUGCCAUAUGAAUUCAGUGAUUAAUCAGAUUUUGUGUUUCAAUUACAACUUCUCGACACGCCUGUAAUUCCAGCAAGUUUCGUGAAAUAUCUUUUC